rnacentral:rRNA from 1 species
GACGAACGCUGGCGGCGUGCCUAAUACAUGCAAGUCGAGCGCGGGAAGCCGGACUGAUCCCUUCGGGGUGACGAUCGGUGGAACGAGCGGCGGAUGGGUGAGUAACACGUGGGUAACCUGCCUGUAAGCCUGGGAUAACUCGCGGAAACGCGAGCUAAUACCGGAUGACACGAAAGUUCGCAUGAACUUUUGUUGAAAGGCGGCUUUUAGCUGUCACUUACAGAUGGGCCCGCGGCGCAUUAGCUAGUUGGUGAGGUAACGGCUUACCAAGGCGACGAUGCGUAGCCGACCUGAGAGGGUGAUCGGCCACACUGGGACUGAGACACGGCCCAGACUCCUACGGGAGGCAGCAGUAGGGAAUCUUCCGCAAUGGACGAAAGUCUGACGGAGCAACGCCGCGUGAGUGAUGAAGGUCUUCGGAUCGUAAAACUCUGUUGUUAGGGAAGAACAAGUAUAAGGCGAAUAACCUUAUACCUUGACGGUACCUAACCAGAAAGCCCCGGCUAACUACGUGCCAGCAGCCGCGGUAAUACGUAGGGGGCGAGCGUUGUCCGGAAUUAUUGGGCGUAAAGGGUGCGUAGGCGGUCUUCUAAGUCUGAUGUGAAAGCCCCCGGCUUAACCGGGGAGGGUCAUUGGAAACUGGAAGACUUGAGUGCGGAAGAGGAGAGCGGAAUUCCACGUGUAGCGGUGAAAUGCGUAGAGAUGUGGAGGAACACCAGUGGCGAAGGCGGCUCUCUGGUCUGUAACUGACGCUGAGGCACG